rnacentral:lncRNA from 1 species
GAUGAUUUGUUUGGUGAACGGAGGCAUCCGUGGACCAAGAAUCCCUUUGCGGUUACGAAGGCUAUUUGCCAGCCUAUACUGUUGCUGCAUUUACGAAUACGUUGCCUAGCCUGACCUUGUGAACAGGUCCUCCGCAGAGACAAGAACAACAUGGACACCAAGGAGUUAGCCAAUAGGAAUGAAGCGUCCAGGGUUGCUUAAGAGAUCAACACUUCGGAGGGUUAUUGUCGUCACCAAGUAGAGCACUGUUGGUGUGUUUCAAGGAAUGUUUUGAACUUUGAGAUGACUCAGUUAGUUAAGGUAAAGUCAACUUCAAGAGAAACUAGUUUCCAAUGAUCC